AUUCUGGCUCAGGAUGAACGCUGGCGGCGUGCUUAACACAUGCAAGUCGAACGGGAUCCAUCAGGCUUUGCUUGGUGGUGAGAGUGGCGAACGGGUGAGUAAUGCGUGACCGACCUGCCCCAUACACCGGAAUAGCUCCUGGAAACGGGUGGUAAUGCCGGAUGCUCCAGUUGAUCGCAUGGUCUUCUGGGAAAGCUUUCGCGGUAUGGGAUGGGGUCGCGUCCUAUCAGCUUGACGGCGGGGUAACGGCCCACCGUGGCUUCGACGGGUAGCCGGCCUGAGAGGGCGACCGGCCACAUUGGGACUGAGAUACGGCCCAGACUCCUACGGGAGGCAGCAGUGGGGAAUAUUGCACAAUGGGCGCAAGCCUGAUGCAGCGACGCCGCGUGAGGGAUGGAGGCCUUCGGGUUGUAAACCUCUUUUAUCGGGGAGCAAGCGAGAGUGAGUUUACCCGUUGAAUAAGCACCGGCUAACUACGUGCCAGCAGCCGCGGUAAUACGUAGGGUGCAAGCGUUAUCCGGAAUUAUUGGGCGUAAAGGGCUCGUAGGCGGUUCGUCGCGUCCGGUGUGAAAGUCCAUCGCUUAACGGUGGAUCCGCGCCGGGUACGGGCGGGCUUGAGUGCGGUAGGGGAGACUGGAAUUCCCGGUGUAACGGUGGAAUGUGUAGAUAUCGGGAAGAACACCAAUGGCGAAGGCAGGUCUCUGGGCCGUUACUGACGCUGAGGAGCGAAAGCGUGGGGAGCGAACAGGAUUAGAUACCCUGGUAGUCCACGCCGUAAACGGUGGAUGCUGGAUGUGGGGCCCGUUCCACGGGUUCCGUGUCGGAGCUAACGCGUUAAGCAUCCCGCCUGGGGAGUACGGCCGCAAGGCUAAAACUCAAAGAAAUUGACGGGGGCCCGCACAAGCGGCGGAGCAUGCGGAUUAAUUCGAUGCAACGCGAAGAACCUUACCUGGGCUUGACAUGUUCCCGACGGUCGUAGAGAUACGGCUUCCCUUCGGGGCGGGUUCACAGGUGGUGCAUGGUCGUCGUCAGCUCGUGUCGUGAGAUGUUGGGUUAAGUCCCGCAACGAGCGCAACCCUCGCCCCGUGUUGCCAGCGGAUUAUGCCGGGAACUCACGGGGGACCGCCGGGGUUAACUCGGAGGAAGGUGGGGAUGACGUCAGAUCAUCAUGCCCCUUACGUCCAGGGCUUCACGCAUGCUACAAUGGCCGGUACAACGGGAUGCGAC
rnacentral:rRNA from 1 species